UACGGAGGGUGCGAGCGUUGUCCGGAUUUAUUGGGUUUAAAGGGUGCGUAGGUGGGUUAAUAAGUCAGUGGUGAAAUACGGUUGCUCAACAAUCGAGGUGCCAUUGACACUGUUAAUCUUGAAACAAGUGGAGGUUGCCGGAAUGGAUGGUGUAGCGGUGAAAUGCAUAGAUAUCAUCCAGAACACCGAUUGCGAAGGCAGGUGACUACGUUUGAUUUGACACUGAGGCACGAAAGCAUGGGGAGCAAACAGG
rnacentral:rRNA from 1 species